GAGGCCGCGCGGAGCCGCGUAGGGAUACGCCGGCGGGAGCACGCGGUGCCGCAGCCCUUCCCUGCGCCCCCGCCACCCCCUCCACCCCGCCGGCUCCGCUCCACCGAAAUUCCCCUCCUAGGGCCAAUAGCUCACAUUUCCGGCUUCCUCCUCAUUGUACUGGGUCAUUUUCGUUUAAGCGUCAAUAUUUGUCCUUAGUGAUUAAAGUUUGUAUCCAAUUUUAUUUUUGAAAGCGGGGGUGGUGGUGGUAGUGGGAAGAGUGGGAGUGCAGGGAGAGGAUGCGAGAGGGCAGGAAAUGGAGGAGGUAGAGGCGAGGCACUACUUUUCCGAGUCGGCCUUGCAGGCCAGUGUCUGGCAUUUCUGAGCCAGCAGGAAAAUUGUGCCCUUUGUAGGUAAUAGUCUAGCGCAGCUUUGGAUAAGGGGGGAGAUAAGGCCCACCGCUGGCGUGUGUGCGGGGGUGUCCUUUACUUCGGGGGAGGAGGGUGUGGGAGAGCUUUGGGAGCGAUGAGAUGAGGAGGAGGAAGUGGGCAGAGGAGCGCGGGGCCAAACAGGGGUUACUUACUCGAUUCCUGAGGCCUGGGCGGCGGCGAGCUCCGGGCUCCGGCACCGCGGGGAAACCGGGACUGGGGCUCCGGGUGCUGCUGCGGCGGCCGGGGCCGCUCAGUAGUGGGCGCCUCUGAUGGCCUUCCGAAAUGAGAGGUGCCCAGAGAGAAAACAGUACCAAACAAUCUCGAAAUAAAUCAGAUGCACAGAGAAUUUCUGACCUUGUGACGUUUGGGAGUGAGGAGAUCCCAUACAGAGGCAUCCAGGUAUUUCCAGAGAUCCUGUGGCAGGUGAGGUCUGCCCUCGCUGGAGCCAACUCGUCUAUAAUAUCUUCCUAACAGCAGAUACUACACGAGGUGAUGAAGACAGAGUGUUGA
rnacentral:lncRNA from 10 species